UGGGAAAAAAGGAGGGGAGGAGGGCAGAGCGGAGGUGCGGAGUCUCGGUCUGUGCGCUCUCCCAUCUGGCGCCGCCGCUCCGCAGGACGAGCGCGGAUCCCAAAACUAAGCUAGGGGCGGCGGCGGCGGUCGGCCUACCGGUACCUCUCCCUCGAGUACCUCUGGAAGCUCCGGCGGUUCUUCCGGCGGCUGCGCCGGCGGCUCCUCCGGCUGCCGAGGAGGGGCCUCCGGCUCGCGACGGAGCUGCGGGACGCGGCGGAGGCGCUCAAGGCGCAGUUGUGGCUGCAGGAGCAGAGGUGCGUCCAACCGUUUGCAGAAGCCAUGGACUGCUUCGUGGGAUUGAGUCUGUAUGUCCGCCACCGACGUCUGGAAAAACCCAUGACCUUCUUCCAACAAUAACUUCUCUGUCCUUUCUUUUUGCCGUGUGGUCGCUUACCUUUUAGUCUAUUGAGACGUCGAUUCCGACUCUUUGGAGUCGGGUACUUCUAACUUUUCUUAAGAUACGGCCGUUUCCACUUCCAACUUUUCUUAAGAUGUAGUCGUUGACACUUCUGACUUUUCUCAAGGUACAGCCGUUCACACUUCUAACUCUUUUUUCUACCCUCACAGUUCCAACUCUUCUGACGCUUAUUACUAAGGUUUCAGGUCGUACAAUUCCAUCUCUUCCAAAGUUUCCUUAGAUCGUCUUGUUGACUAUGCUUCUUCGGUAGCAGACAAGGUUCACCGGGGGGUUUCGACUGUAGGGAACAGUCUACGUUGCUACGACGAGCUCUAUUUAUGUCCCUCGAAGAACAACUGCGGAAGCAGUUCCAAAGGUUCCUUUGAUCGCUCCUACUGUCUCUCCUUUAUUCUCUAGAGGACCUGGUCCAUUUACGUACGCUGGGUAUAUCUCAACGACACUGUCACCUCAGCCGGAACAAACUCUCCUAGCCCGCAAGGUGGCCCUGGGUGUUCCACUUUAUGUCCAGCUAUGACAAGUUGGACUUCCGCCUGUUGUUGGGACUGAAGGCCGCCUCCCACGACGACCCGCUCCACUCCGGGCCCUCGGACCACCUGUACGGGCGUCUGCUCUACCGGUCGCUGCGAGCCUUCGACCUCUUGGUCGUCUAGUUCCUCUUCCGGGACAAACUGACGCUCGCGCGCAGCCGCGGGUUCCGCAGCUGCCUGGUCAAGUUCACGCCCGCAACGCCCGUCGCGUUCUGCUGGAUGAUGGUCGACGUCUGGGCCUCACGCCUGCUCGGCUACUGCUGCAAGCACUGCACGCAGUUGACGUUGUUGGUGACCUUCAAGACGACUCGCGGCCGCUGAGACGACGUUGACGAUCGCACAAAAAGGACAAUCGCUACGGCAAAGUCAGAACUGUCCAUCCGACCAGGCAAAAAAGUAUACGAAUCCUCCUCUGACAAAAGAACACAACAAAAAUUACACCAAUAAUUCUUGGGACUAAAUAAGUCUAACACAUGAUCAACUGGCGUAUUUACAACAAGCGACCUACUUGACUACAACGGACUACAUUCAAAAUACUUUCUCUAACAAGACACAAUCAAUACAUAUAUGUGAGUGUAUCACUAUGACACUAUCAUUACUUCUUUGUCC
rnacentral:rRNA from 1 species